AUAGAUAUCACGCAGAACCCCGAUUGCGAAGGCAGCAUACCGGCGCCCGACUGACGCUGAGGCACGAAAGUGCGGGGAUCAAACAGGAUUAGAUACCCUGGUAGUCCGCACAGUAAACGAUGAAUGCUAGUUGUCCGGGGGGAUUGACCCCUGGGUGGCACAGCGAAAGCGUUAAGCAUUCCACCUGGGGAGUACGCCGGCAACGGUGAAACUCAAAGGAAUUGACGGGGGCCCGCACAAGCGGAGGAACAUGUGGUUUAAUUCGAUGAUACGCGAGGAACCUUACCCGGGCUCAAACGCCGAAGGGACAUUCCCCGAAAGGGGAUUGGCCAGCAAUGGUCUUCGGCGAGGUGCUGCAUGGUUGUCGUCAGCUCGUGCCGUGAGGUGUCGGCUUAAGUGCCAUAACGAGCGCAACCCCCACCGACAGUUGCUAACUGGUCAAGCAGAGGACUCUGUCGGGACUGCCGGCGCAAGCUGCGAGGAAGGCGGGGAUGACGUCAAAUCAGCACGGCCCUUACGUCCGGGGCGACACACGUGUUACAAUGGCAGGUACAGCGGGAUGCCAUGGGGCGACCCAGAGCGGAACCCGAAAACCUGUCUCAGUUCGGAUUGGAGUCUGCAACCCGACUCCAUGAAGCUGGAUUCGCUAGUAAUCGCGCAUCAGCCACGGCGCGGUGAAUACGUUCCCGGGCCUUGUACACACCGCCCGUCAAGCCAUGGGAGCCGGGGGUGCCUGAAGGCCGUGACCGCGAGGAGCGGCCUAGGGUAAAACUGGUGACUGGGGCUAAGUCGUAACAAGGUAGCCGUAA
rnacentral:rRNA from 1 species